rnacentral:rRNA from 1 species
CCCUUAGAUGUUCUGGGCCGCACGCGUGCUACACUGAGUGGAUCAGCGGGUCAGGUUGCGCGAAAGCGUUUCCUAAUCUUUAAAUCCGCUCGUGAUGGGGAUUGACGGUUGCAAUUUUCUGUCAUGAACGAGGAAUACCUUGUAAGCGCGGGUCAUCAUCCCGCGCUGAAUACGUCCCUGCCCUUUGUACACACCGCCCGUCGCUCCUACCGAUUGAGUGGUCCGGUGAGGCUUUGGGAUCUGAGCGGAAAGAGCGUUUCGCUGUUUCUGCUCGGAAAACUCAGUCGAACCUUAUCAUUUAGUGGAAGGAGAAGUCGUAACA